rnacentral:rRNA from 3 species
UGACCUCGGAUCAGGUAGGGAUACCCGCUGAACUA